rnacentral:rRNA from 1 species
AAACUAGCACCUCAAGUGGUCAGGAGGAUUAUUGGGCCUAAAGCAUCCGUAGCCUGUUCUAUAAGUUUCCGGUUAAAUCCAUUAGCUCAACUAAUGGGCUGCCGAAAAUACUGUAGAACUAGGGAGUGGGAGAGGUAGACGGUAUUCGGUAGGAAGGGGUAAAAUCCUUUGAUCUAUUGAGGACCACCUGUGGCGAAGGCGGUCUACCAGAACACGUUCGACGGUGAGGGAUGAAAGCUGGGGGAGCAAACCGGAUUAGAUACCCGAGUAGUCC